ensembl:lncRNA
GAUGCACUUCCCCACAGAACGGUCCAAGGUUGCCUUCAUGAUGUCCCAUCUCACGGGAAGGGCCAAGGCAUGGGCCACCGCUGAGUGGGCUAGGAGUUCGGCAGUUUGCUCAUCACCAAAGAAGUUUGCCGACGCUCUCCGACUUGUUUUUGACCCUGUGGCAACAGACCGAGAAAGGGCUCGUGAGCUCAGUCAGAUAAAGCAAGGUGGACAGUCCGUUUGUGAAUACGCCAUACGUUUUCGCACCCUGGCGAUGGAGAGUGGGUGGAACACCACGUCCCUCUACGAUGUUUUUCUGAGAGGGCUCUCCGACCAGAUCCAGGACCUCUUGGUCCCAUUGGACCUGCCUCUGGACCUCGAUUCCCUCAUCGCCCUCGCCAUCCGCACCGACAACCGCCUACAGGAACGGAGGCGGCAGCGUGGGCCCAGAGGGACACCCGCUGCACCUGGCUCUUCCCCGACGCUCUGGGGCGCCGCAUCGCGUCAAACCUCCCCUGAGCGACUCAAGAACCCGUGCCGGAGGCGAGGAGGAGCCCAUGCAGAUGGGGAGGGCCCGGCUCUCUCAAGAGGAACGACAGCGACGCUACCAGGAGGGCAGAUGCUUUUACUGCGGCGAGCGUGGCCACCUCAUCACCGCCUGUCCAGUAAAGGCCAACCAGUCGACUCGGAGAUCACCAAUCUGACUCAAGUUCCAAGCUGCUACCACCACCUCGCUGAGGUUUUUAGUAAGAGCAAGGCCACAGCUCUACCACCUCAUCGCCCGUUCGACUGCGCCAUUGACCUUCUGCCCGGCUCCACCAUCCCGAAGGGCCGUCUUUACUCUGUUUCCGGGCCCGAGAGGCAGGCCAUGAAGGACUACAUCGAAUCCUCCCUGAGGGCGGGGUUGAUCCGACCUUCCUCGUCCCCAGCAGGGGCAGGUUUUUUCUUUGUGGGAAAGAAGGAUGGAACCCUUCGCCCCUGCAUUGACUACAGCCCGCUUAACGACAUAACCGUUAAGAACAGAUACCCUCUACCUCUCAUGACCUCAGUAUUCGACCAGCUUCAACAGGCGCAGAUUUUUACCAAACUAGACUUACGCAACGCCUAUCACCUGGUUCGCAUUAGGGAAGGGGAUGAGUGGAAAACGG